rnacentral:tmRNA from 1 species
GGGGCUGAUUCUGGAUUCGACGGGAUUUGCGAAACCCAAGGUGCAUGCCGAGGGGCGGUUGGCCUCGUAAAAAAGCCGCAAAAAAAUAGUCGCAAACGACGAAAACUACGCUUUAGCAGCUUAAUAACCUGCUUAGAGCCCUCUCUCCCUAGCCUCCGCUCUUAGGACGGGGAUCAAGAGAGGUCAAACCCAAAAGAGAUCGCGUGGAUGCCCUGCCUGUGGGGUUGAAGCGUUAAAACGAAUCAGGCUAGUCUGGUAGUGGCGUGUCCGUCCGCAGGUGCCAGGCGAAUGUAAAGACUGACUAAGCAUGUAGUACCGAGGAUGUAGGAAUUUCGGACGCGGGUUCAACUCCCGCCAGCUCCACCA